rnacentral:lncRNA from 1 species
GAAGGCAGCAGAGGGCAUUGCUUACAGGGGUCACAGACAUUCAGAUCAUGGCAGAACUGUCACAGAUGUUACUUUGUGAAAACACAAAGAAUAAUGUGUUUGGAGAGAUCAGUCUUCAAUUAGCUAUAUUUUCUAGGAGCCUACCUUUACUUAGCCUCACAACAUGGGCCUUAGCUUUAGCACUUAAUCUGCACAAAUACCUGGCUUAAGUGUUAUGACUGACUGGCUAUUCAACCAAACCAUACAAAUGACCAAUUCGGUAAGAAAGCAUGAACUUCAGUGUUGAACCAAAUCAACCAACCUCCUCAAUCCAAAUGAACAAUGCUAUUCUAGGAGUCUGUGCUAGAAUAAAAUCCUAAUGCAAAGGCUGUCUUAAAAUGCUGAACCCAGAAGAAUUUGGCAUAAAUAAGACAUGGAGUUAGCUGACAUGAGAUAUUACAUUUAUUCCACUGUUGACGAGGACAAAACUGGGCCGCUAUUGUCACAGGAGAGGAUAACAAAGGAAGCUGAGGAAGUCUGUUCUGGAGGCACCAUGACAAAGCACCAGACAGAAAGCAGUCACGUGUGGGGAGAUGAGCAGAGACACCACUUCUCAAGCACCUGAUUAUUCUUUCUCAGUAUUUAGAAGCAAAAAUUAUCCUUAAGAAAAACAACCGCAAACGCAACACAGGCUACACAGAUGAGAAAAUGGGGCUUGCAGAGCUCAAACCAUUACACCAUUCAGAAGCUGGCUUUGGUAUUACUUCAAGUUAUUCAAAACAGUCACCACUUGCUGAGCCUCUGAUGUCUCAUCUGUUGAAUGGGUACAUUUUCUUCCUGAUCCUUCCACCUCUAAACUUGUCUAUUUCCAAGGAUCUAUGGCAUCCAGGCAUAUGAUUUCAAGAGAGAAGGCUGAAAAGGAAGGUGACUGGAAUAUUAAGAACUGUGAGAUAUUCUGAGGAAACUCUAAUUUGUAAAUUGGUAGAAAUGCCAGUAAUUUGUUGGGAAUUGAAGACCCUCUGUAUUCAAGAGCGAAGCUUGGCAGCUGUGCACUGUUGUUUUAUAAAUCAAUAUUACAUCUGAA